UCACUCAGUUGGAGUUUUUUGGGAUAAACCACAGGGGGAUUUAGGAGGAUGAAGCUGUCCUGGGAUUUUUGGGAUAAACCACAGCGUGAUUUGGAAGGAUGAAGCUGCCUUGGGAUUUUUGGGGUUAACCAGAAGGUAAUUUAGGAGGAUGAAGCUUCCCUGGGAUUUUUGGGAUAAAGCACAGGGUGAUCUGGAAGGAUGAAGCUUCCCUGGGAUUUUUGGGAUAAAGCACAGGGUGAUUUCCUUGAUUUAGGAGGAUGAAGCUGCCCUGCCCAGCCCACACCUGUCUCACACUGUGUCUCCACUCUGUUCCAGAUUUUUGGGAUUUUUGGGAUAAACCACAGGGGGAUUUGUAAGGAUGAAGCUGCCCUGCCCAUCCCACACCUCUCCCACGUGUGUCUCCAUUCCAUUGCAGAUUUUUGGGAUUUUUGGGAUAAAGUACAGAGUGAUUUAGGAGGAUGAA
rnacentral:lncRNA from 1 species